UAGGGUGCGCUGACACAUAAACAUCUUCAACCUAUCACAAUGCUUAGUUUCAAAUGUAAUCGUUUUGAUUGGUGUAAAUUUUUUUAUGUGCUAAAAAUUAUUGUAACCAUAGAGACUGUUAAUAUCGAACUUAAUCAAUCAGUUUCAAAUUCCUAACCUCAAAUCACAAAUACAACAACCACUGUCAAAAAACUUGUGUCAUUUAAAUUAACAGCUGUAUACAAUAUAUAAAACAAAAUGGUGCAACGACCAUAUUCACAGAAAGAAGAAAAAAUUAUUCUAGACUUCAUUAUCGAACAACAGGCAUUUAAUUUACUAAAAACAAACAGUUUCUGGAAACAAUUGGAAUCAAAAAAUUUACUUGAUCGCACUUAUCAAAGCAUGAAGGAACAUUUUAGAAAGGUUAUACUGUUACAACUGCACUAUCCAUUUUAUGAAUUAACACCCGAGAUUAGACAACAAAUCACAAAUGGUUAUAGAGAAGGUUUUUUGAAAUAAAGUUGAAGCAAUUUCUCAUUAUUAUUUGUUGUGUAUAUAUUAAAUGGCUUUUUAUUUUUACUUUUUAUAUCUAAUUUAGUGUUUUUGAGUAUUAUGGCUGAAAUAAAAACACUACUUUUAUAAAAA